GACGAACGCUGGCGGCGUGCUUAACACAUGCAAGUCGAACGGAGCGAAUGAAAGCUUGCUUUUGUGAGCUUAGUGGCAAACGGGUGAGUAACACGUAGACAACCUGCCGACAGGAUGGGGACAACAUUCCGAAAGGAAUGCUAAUACCGAAUGAAGCGGAGGAGAGGCAUCUCUCCUCCGUGAAAGAUGGCCUCUGAAUAUGCUAUCACCUGUCGAUGGGUCUGCGUCUGAUUAGCUAGUUGGUGAGGUAACGGCUCACCAAGGCGACGAUCAGUAGCCGGUUGAGAGGAUGAACGGCCACAUUGGGACUGAGACACGGCCCAGACUCCUACGGGAGGCAGCAGUGGGGAAUCUUCCGCAAUGGGCGCAAGCCUGACGGAGCAACGCCGCGUGAGUGAAGAAGGUCUUCGGAUCGUAAAGCUCUGUUGACGGGGACGAACGUGCGUGAUGCGAAUAGUGUCAUGCAA
rnacentral:rRNA from 1 species